GGAACCCCCUCAUGACCCGCCGUUUCUCCCCCAGCCCCGGCCGAGAGCGGGUGCUCGGACGAGUUUGCCCUCGACUGCACCUUCGCCGCCUGUGACCCCGAGCACACAGGGAUGGUGCUGCCGCAGCGGGUGGUCGAGUAUGUGGCAGCGGUGACGGGGCACAGCGGGCACGAGGGGCGGCUGAGGGAGCUGCGGCGGGCGCUGGACCCUGCGGCCUCAGGGGCCGCCUUGGACCUGCCCCAAUUCCGCGUGGCCAUGGGCACCUGGAUCGCGGCGUGUCGGCAGGACGGGAGUGCAUGGCUCGGCGAGGAGCGGGAGGACAC